UUGUGAAAAUGAUGAAAGAGAAUUUAAGAGUGAUGAUUACUUAUUGUUUUGAUGUGAUCAUAAAUCUACUCGCUACGUUCUUUCUGAUUCUCUG